AGAGUUUGAUCAUGGCUCAGGAUGAACGCUGGCGGCGUGCCUAACACAUGCAAGUCGUACGAGCUCGAUCUUCGGAACGGGUUAGUGGCGCACGGGUGAGUAACACGUAGGUGACCUACCCCAGAGUGGGGGAUAACUUCUCGAAAGAGAGGCUAAUACCGCAUACACUCGGUCAUUCAUUUGGCCGAGCAAAGCUCCGGCGCUUUGGGACGGGCCUGCGUCCGAUUAGCUAGUUGGUAGGGUAAUGGCUACCAAGGCUUUGAUCGGUAGCUGGUCUGAGAGGACGAUCAGCCACACUGGCACUGACACACGGGCCAGACUCCUACGGGAGGCAGCAGUGAGGAAUAUUGGGCAAUGGGCGAAAGCCUGACCCAGCAACGCCGCGUGAGGGAUGAAGGCCUUCGGGUUGUAAACCUCUUUUCUGGGAGAAGAGACAAGGACGGUAUCCCAGGAAUAAGUCUCGGCUAACUACGUG
rnacentral:rRNA from 1 species